rfam:Ancylostoma duodenale strain Zhejiang A_duodenale-1.0_Cont17442.1, whole genome shotgun sequence.
CCAACGGCCCUCUUUAGGGCCACAAAUGUGCUCGAAUACAACAAG